rnacentral:rRNA from 1 species
UACGGGAGGCAGCAGUGGGGAAUAUUGCACAAUGGGCGCAAGCCUGAUGCAGCCAUGCCGCGUGUAUGAAAAAGGCCUUCGGGUUGUAAAGUACUUUCAGUCGUGAGGAAGGUGUUAAGGUUAAUAACCUUAGCAAUUGACGUUAGCGACAGAAGAAGCACCGGCUAACUCCGUGCCAGCAGCCGCGGUAAUACGGAGGGUGCGAGCGUUAAUCGGAAUUACUGGGCGUAAAGGGCACGCAGGCGGUUAAUUAAGUUGGAUGUGAAAUCCCCGGGCUUAACCUGGGAAUGGCAUUCAAGACUGGUUAGCUAGAGUCUUGUAGAGGGGGUAGAAUUCCAUGUGUAGCGGUGAAAUGCGUAGAGAUGUGGAGGAAUACCGGUGGCGAAGGCGGCCCCUGGACAAAGGCUGACGCUCAUGUGCGAAAGCGUGGGGAGCGAAACAGGGAUUAGAUACC